GCGGCACGCCUAACACAUGCAAGUCGAACGAAGUAGCAAUACUUAGUGGCAGACGGGUGAGUAACAUGUAGGUAUCUGCCCUUUGGCCUGGAAUAACACGAGGAAACUUGUGCUAAUACCGGAUAAGUCUUUACAGAGAAAGCUUUAUGCACCAUUGGAUGAGCCUGCACUUGAUUAGUUUGUUGGUAGGGUAAUGGCCUACCAAGACUAUGAUCAAUAGCUGAUUUGAGAGGAUGAUCAGCCACAUUGGGACUGAGACACGGCCCAAACUCCUACGGGAGGCAGCAGUGGGGAAUCUUGCACAAUGGAGGAAACUCUGAUGCAGCGAUGCCGCGUGAGUGAAGAAGGCCCUUGGGUUGUAAAGCUCUUUCGUCGGGGAAGAAAAUGACUGUACCCGAAUAAGAAGGUCCGGCUAACUUCGUGCCAGCAGCCGCGGUAAUACGAAGGGACCUAGCGUAGUUCGGAAUUACUGGGCUUAAAGAGUUCGUAGGUGGUUGAAAAAGUUAGUGGUGAAAUCCCAGAGCUUAACUCUGGAACUGCCAUUAAAACUUUUCAGCUAGAGUAUGAUAGAGGAAAGCAGAAUUUCUAGUGUAGAGGUGAAAUUCGUAGAUAUUAGAAAGAAUACCAAUUGCGAAGGCAGCUUUCUGGAUCAUUACUGACACUGAGGAACGAAAGCAUGGGUAGCGAAGAGGAUUAGAUACCCUCGUAGUCCAUGCCGUAAACGAUGUGUGUUAGACGUUGGAAAUUUAUUUUCAGUGUCGCAGGGAAACCGAUAAACACACCGCCUGGGGAGUACGACCGCAAGGUUAAAACUCAAAUGAAUUGACGGGGACCCGCACAAGUAGUGGAGCAUGUGGUUUAAUUCGAAGAUACGCGCAGAACCUUACCAACACUUGACAUGUUCGUCGCGACUCUAAGAGAUUAGAGUCUUCGGUUCGGCCGGACGAAACACAGGUGCUGCAUGGCUGUCGUCAGCUCGUGUCGUGAGAUGUUGGGUUAAGUCCCGCAACGAGCGCAACCCUCACUUUUAGUUGCCAUCAUUAAGUUGGGCACUCUGAAAGAACUGCCAGUGAUAAGCUGGAGGAAGGUGGGGAUGACGUCAAGUCCUCAUGGCCCUUACGUGUUGGGCUACACACGUGCUACAAUGGUAUCUACAACAGGAAGCAAGACUGCGAAGUUAAGCAAAUCCCUAAAAGAUACCUCAGUUCGGAUUGCACUCUGCAACUCGAGUGCAUGAAGCUGGAAUUACUAGUAAUCGUGGAUCAGCGUGCCACGGUGAAUGCGUUCCCGGGUCUUGUACACACCGCCCGUCACACCAUGGGAGUUGGUUCUACCUUAAGGCAAGGUUUUAAACCCUUGACCACGGUAUAGUCAGCGA
rnacentral:rRNA from 1 species